UGCAAGGUAUUGAGAUCCGAUCUCAAUUUUUUUAUUUUAAUUUUUAGAUUACAUGUAUGUCUUUGAUUCAGGGCUCAGGUAGAUAUAGAUUAGAUCCAUUGCACGUGGAGUUAAAGGGUUUAACUUAGAUUCAUUUUUGCUGCUAUUCAAAAUUAUUUUGAAAUCUAUGCAUGCAACCCUAUCCAUUUUCUAACACAUCGAUCUCUA
rnacentral:lncRNA from 1 species